UGAGAAGUUAUGUAGAACUGGGGCUAUGGACACCACUUUCUUUCAUGUUUAGUCUGUUCUGCAGACAGCGGCGGCAUGAAGGGAGGCAGUUUCCAAUUUCACUCCCUCACGAUUCCCAGCUGUACUUCUUGCCUAUGGGUAAUAUGUGCUGCUUAUUUAUCCUUCCAAUGGCUGCCUCUUUUUUGUCUGUUUGAACUACUAGUUUUAAUGGGUUUCUGUUUCUUGAACUAACUAUACUUGAUAAUGCCAAGUCAGGGUUGGGGAGAAAGAAAAUGUGAUAGACUGUAAUGACCUAAUGUGUGAAUGAAUGGGAGUCUUGCCAGGAGAACCUGAACCUCUUCAAGUAUUUCUAACAGAGAGAAUUUAACAUAGGUAAUUGGCAACCCAAGUGAUGGAACAGCUGAGCACCAAUCAGGAGAUGAUGAGAUAACCCAGAGAUUAGCAACAGUAGGAAGCCACUGUCUUAAUUUAGGCAAGAGAGACAAAGAAAGGAGGGAGUGUUACUUGAGGCAAAGGGUUGGGUAACGUGGGGGUUCAUGUCUGGUGAGAGCUGGAGCCAAUACAAGGCAUGGAUGCUGCCAGAGAAACCAUCCAAGGUAGAGUGGAAGGGGCAAAACAGCUGAGCAUCUUCCAUCCCCCUGUGCUACAAUCUUCUGCUAGUGCCUUCCACUAGGUGACUUCAACCAGCAGCUGACUAACCCUGGGACCUGUAACAUGGAGCAGAGUAGAGGCUAAGGAAUGAAUCUGAGGCCCAGGACUGGUACAGUGUGGAAGCAAGGCAUUCUUCUCUCGUCUUCAGCAGAAUGAAGAACUAGAAACGAUACAAGAUCUCAGACUGGUAGAAAAAGGCAGAGCCCAAGUCAGAGGAUUGGCCUUGAUGUCCCUCAUCAAAGGACACUAUGGGAGUCAUCGGUGCUCUUCUCUAUGUCAUACUUUCCUCUUUUAAGUACAUGCCGUUAAAGCAAACCCGAAUAUAUAGGUGAUCUGAAGGAGGCUGGCCCACGCAGGGGUUGGAUGUAAAAGGAGGACAGCAGCCAGAGUGAAGAGCCCUCAAGAUGAAUGAGUCAAUAUAUAGCUCAACCUUCUCUUUCUCUUCAGAGCUGAGUUCACAUCCCCCACCUAUGGAUUGGCUUUAUCUUCCUAAAAUACAGCUCUGGCCAAAAGGCUGGAUGGAAGAUACCAAGCGGAUGGGGAUUCACUGUACUCUGAAGGUGUGAAGUGGACCAACUCCUUUGGGAGCCGUGUUUCAAGAAGGAAGACAAAAAAGACAUCAGAGAAACCAGAAUUCCCUACAAGGUCAUAUAGUUCUUACAGAAAAUCCUCCGUGAGAUGGGACCUCGAGACCCCAAGGUGAAAGGAAUUUCCUGCAUCUAUAUGUUAAACACAUAGUUACUGAACACCUACUUUGUGCAAAGCACUGUUCUUAAGGCACUGUUCCCAGCUUGGAACGCUAAGCAGAUGUCAUUGUCACCAAUGAAGUGUGUAGUUGAAUCGUAGUGACAAGAGGAAGGAAGACAGUGAAGGCUAAGUUGAAAAUGUUUGGAAAAUGGCUUUUCUCUGUCUGCUAAGAAAUUAGAAAAUUAAAACAAGAGUGUUAAAAUGCAUGGGUGGUGCAUAGUUUGCAACGGGAACUGACUUGGUGGGGAGGGAGGUGGUGUGUAUUUUGAGACAAUUUUUGAAUUUGGCUUUCUGUUUAGAGCAGCUUACCUACUACUAUAAGACAGGAUGAUGGAGUAAAAGUUUAAAGUCACCCCAGAUUUAAAAUUCUGUGUGUAUGUGUUUUCUAUCUCGCCUUUAUUUGUAGACUGUUUCUAUUCUUAAAUAUGCCUAAUGCUUCACUGAAUUAAGCAGCUUGAGGCCCAAAGAAUGAAUGAGACAGGGCCUCUGACUCUAAGGGACUCAUAAAGAAAGAUGAAGCAAGUACCCAAAUAAUACUACAUGUAUUAAACCAGUAAAAAUAAACCACAACCAAAACCCACUACAAACCAGGCAAUCAGAAAAGUUGUGGUAGAUUGACUGCAAAAAGUCCUCAAGUUCUUCAUUCUCCCUAUCCAUACCCAUUGCAAUGUGAUGUUGCAGUUCUUUUCAUAAGUGAAAGAGUCUAGAUUCCCACACCUUGAAACAGAGUUGGUCUGUAGCUUGCUUUGGCCAAUAGGAAGCAGCAGAAGUGAUGCUGUACCACUUCUAAGCCUGACUCAAGGGGCUUUGCACAUUGUCUCUUUUUGUUUCAGAACCUUGUCAUCACCACUAGAUCAAGGCCAAGCUAACCUGCUGAAGGCUGAGAAAUUUUGCAGAGGAAAGCACAGUUGUUUUAGCUAAGGCUAUCCUAGAUCACCUCACAGCCAGCCAAUUCUCUUACACGUAAGACAGCAGAGCCAAGGUCAACAAAUAUUUAGGCCAUCACAUAGCUGCCUGCAGAUACAUGAGUGAACCCAACUGAGACCAUAGGAACCAUGCAGCUGAACUGUGGACUUGUGAGGACAAAUAAAUAUCUACAACAGUAUGCCACUACAUUGGUUAUUUGUUACUCAGCUUUACUGUGACAAUUGAUAACUGAUACCAAAGGUUUCAUGGGGUAGUAAUCUUUCCACAAAGCCAUGAAGAAUGAGGAUGACGGAGGAUUGUGACAGGCAGUGCAAAUGGGGAGGACUUCAGGCCAGAGGCAUAGCAUGAAUGAAACCAUGGAGCGAGAAAGCCUAAAUAUGGUCACAGAAUGGCAACAACCCAGUUUAAUGAAAAGGGCUCAGAAUUUCAAAAUCACCACUAUUAUGACAUCAACUCUGAGAAGUUAUCCGGAGGGGUGGCUAUUCUCUAGACAAGUAGUGCUAUUGAAAGAGAGUUCACUCUUGACACAAGGCCUCUUACAAGCUGGGGAUGUAGAAUACACUUUGCCCUCUUCACUGGCUGGGCCGAGAAGGUGCAAGAAUCAGAGAGAGUCAAAUCUUGUUAUUGCACCUGUUUUAACACAUACACCUGAGCAAGACAAGGAAGCAAAUACUUUCUUGAAAUGAACAUAGCAUGACUAGAUGGUGGAACAGAGAACUGGAAUAAGUGAAGACCAAUGUUUUCACUGAGACACUUUUUUUUAUUCCACUGGAACUUAGAAGUACUCAAAUCAGAUUUUUGUACUGGCUUGAUGUUUUGCCAAGAAAUUAAAUUUAGGAAACUCCAGGUAUUACUGAGAUGAUAUCACAUUGGCCUGCCUCAAAACAAUCUUUGGGGAAGUAGGUGGCAUAUGAAUAAUCAAUAAAUAACUAAUGCCUUCUAGAGAAACUGGAAGAAAAACAAAAACACUGUGUUGACGUCUUCAUAUUGAUUGUUUGCUUGCUUUAUGUUCCCUCCUCCCACUUCCUGUAAUUGCCAGGAUGUUCAGUGACCUUUCUGUGUUUAAUUACUCAAAAAAAAAACAUGCGAAAAAUGAAUGCCAGAGGAAGAGGGAGGUACCUAUUGCUGAGUGUCUUGUCAAAAUAACUACCCCCAAUGUCUUUCUUCUUUCUGUGGGAUAUGUGAUGCUUGAUUGAAAUGAGCAGAACAUGAAAUGGAGAAAGCAUACCGCUA